rnacentral:rRNA from 1 species
AACGAACGCUGGCGGCAGGCUUAACACAUGCAAGUCGAACGCCCCGCCAGGGGAGUGGCAGGCUGGUGAGUAACGCGUGGGGACAUACCCUUUUCUAUGGCAUAGCUCUGGGAAACUGGUAUUAAUACCGUAUACGCCCUACGGGGGAAAGAUUUAUCGGGGAAGGAUUGGCCCGCGUUGGAUUGGCUAGUUGGUGGGGUAAAGGCCUACCAAGGCGACGUUCCAUAGCUGGUCUGAGAGGAUGAUCAGCCACAUUGGGACUGAGACACGGCCCAAACUCCUACGGAGGGCAGCAGUGGGGAAUAUUGGACAAUGAGCGCAAGCCUGGUCCAGCCGUGCCGCGUGAGUGAUGAAGGCCUUAGGGUUGUAAAGCUCUUUCACCGAUGAAGAUAAUGACGGUAGUCGGAGAAGAAGCCCCGGCUAACUUCGUG